rnacentral:rRNA from 1 species
UACGUAGGGUGCGAGCGUUGUCCGGAAUUAUUGGGCGUAAAGAGCGCGUAGGCGGCCGAGUAAGUCCGACGUGAAAUCUGGAGGCUCAACCUCCAGCGGUCGUUGGAAACUACUCGGCUAGAGUCCGGAAGAGGAGAGUGGAAUUCCCGGUGUAGCGGUGAAAUGCGCAGAUAUCGGGAAGAACACCCGUGGCGAAGGCGGUUCUCUGGGACGGUACUGACGCUGAGACGCGAAAGCGUGGGGAGCAAACAGG